GGGCCCGCACAAGCGGUGGAGCAUGUGGUUUAAUUCGAUGAUACGCGAGGAACCUUACCAGGGCUUAAAUGCAGAACGACAGAGGUGGAAACACCUCCUUCUUCGGACGGUCUGCAAGGUGCUGCAUGGUUGUCGUCAGCUCGUGCUGUGAAGUGUCGGGUUAAGUCCCAUAACGAGCGCAACCCCUAUUUCUAGUUGCCAGCGGUUCGGCCGGGGACUCUAGAGAAACUGCCAGCGUAAGCUGUGAGGAAGGUGGGGAUGACGUCAAAUCAUCACGGCCCUUACGUCCUGGGCUACACACGUGCUACAAUGGUAGGGACAGAGAGUUGCCAACCCGCGAGGGUGAGCUAAUCUUCAAACCCUUAAAAGAUACCUCAGUUCGGAUUGCACUCUGCAACUCGAGUGCAUGAAGCUGGAAUU
rnacentral:rRNA from 1 species